CCUACGGGAGGCAGCAGUGAGGAAUAUUGGUCAAUGGACGAGAGUCUGAACCAGCCAAGUAGCGUGAAGGAUGACUGCCCUAUGGGUUGUAAACUUCUUUUAUAUGGGAAUAAAACGUUCCACGUGUGGGAUUUUGUAUGUACCAUAUGAAUAAAGAUCGGCUAACUCCGGUCCAGCAGCCGCGGGAAUACGGAGGAUCCGAGCGUUAUCCGGAAUUAUUGGGGUUAAAGGGAGCGUAGGUGGAUUGUUAAGUCAGUUGUGAAAGUUUGCGGCUCAACCGUAAAAUUGCAGUUGAAACUGGCAGUCUUGAGUACAGUAGAGGUGUGCGGAAUGCGUGGUGUAGCGGUGAAAUGCUUAGAUAUCACGAAGAACUCCGAUUGCGAAGGCAGUUCACUGGACUGCAACUGACACUGAGGCUCGAAAGUGUGGGUAUCAAACAGGAUUAGAUACCCCUGUAGUC
rnacentral:rRNA from 1 species